rnacentral:misc_RNA from 1 species
AACGCACAUUGCGCCCUUUGGUAUUCCAAAGGGCAUGCCUGUUCGAGCGUCAUUUGAACCCUCAAGCCUUGCUUGGUGUUGGGUGUUUUGUCUUCUUCUCGGAGACUCGCCUUAAAACAAUUGGCAGCCGGCACACUGGUAUUGAAGCGCAGCACAAUUUGCGCUUCUGUCCACGCGUGCCCGCAUCCACAAAGCCCAUUUUUUCACUUUUGACCUCGGAUCAGGUAGGGAUACCCGCUGAACUUAA